UACGGAGGGUGCAAGCGUUAUCCGGAUUCACUGGGUUUAAAGGGUGCGUAGGUGGGUCUGUAAGUCAGUGGUGAAAUCUCCGGGCUUAACCCGGAAACUGCCAUUGAUACUAUAGGUCUUGAAUUAUCUGGAGGUGAGCGGAAUAUGUCAUGUAGCGGUGAAAUGCUUAGAUAUGACAUAGAACACCAAUUGCGAAGGCAGCUCACUACGGAUGUAUUGACACUGAGGCACGAAAGCGUGGGGAUCAAACAGG
rnacentral:rRNA from 1 species